rnacentral:piRNA from 1 species
UGAGCAGCCAUGAGUCAGCAGCAGCCUA